rnacentral:lncRNA from 1 species
GGGGACAGCUGGGGGGACACAAGAGGGAGGGAUCGGGGCUGGGACGGGGCGGGGUUGGUGUGCUGGGAACGUACUGGGAUGGUACUGGGAUGGUACUGGGAGGCACUGGGAGGCACAGGGAGGCACUGGGAUGGUACUGGGAUAGUACUGGGGUGGUACUGGGAGGCACUGGGAGGCACUGGGAGGCACUGGGAUGGUACUGGGGUGGUACUGGGAUGGUACUGGGAGGCACUGGGAUGGUACUGGGAUGGUACUGGGGUGGUACUGGGAUGGUACUGGGAGGCACUGGGAUGUUACUGGGAGGUACUGGGAGGCACUGGGAUGUUACUGGUGUGUUAUUGGGGUGUUACUGGGAGGCACUGGGCUGUUACUGGGCUGUUACUGGGAUGUUACUGGGAUGUUACUGGGAGGCACUGGGCUGUACUGGGAUGGCACUGGGGUGUUACUGGGAGGCACUGGGCCGUACUGGGAUGUUACUGGGAGGCACUGUGAGGCACUGUGAGGCACUGGGAUGGUACUGGGAUGGUACUGGGAGGCAUUGGGAUGGUACUGGGAGGCACUGGGAUAGUACUGGGAUGUUACUGGGAGGCACCGGGAGGCACUGGGAUGUUACUGGGAUGUUACUGGGAGGCACUGGGAUGUUACUGGGGUGUCACUGGGAGGCACCGGGCCGUACUGGGGUGUUACUGGGAGGCACCGGGGUGUCACUGGGAGGCAGCGGCCGUACCGGGCCGUGCCGGUGCCCCCAGAGGCGCCGCCGUCGCUGCUGGGGCUGCGCGAGGCCACCAAGAACCGGGUGCUGGUGGCCCAGGG